CAACCCUCAGGGCCCGCCUGCAAAGGCGCGGCGCUGGUGUUGGGGAUCGGCCUCACCGCCGUCCCCCAAAUUCAGUGGCGGUCUCGCUGCAGCCUCCCCUGCGUAGUAGCAACACUCGCAUGCGGAGCGCGGCGCGGCCACGCCGUAAAACCCCCGACUUUCUGAA
rnacentral:misc_RNA from 1 species